GCUUGUCUCAAAGAUUAAGCCAUGCAUGUCUAAGUAUAAGCCUUUAUAUGGUGAGACUGCGAAUGGCUCAUUAAAUCAGAAACUGUUUAUUUGAUAGUGCCUACUACAUGGAUACCUGUAGUAAUUCUAGAGCUAAUACAUGCAAAAAGCCUGGACUUCUGGAACAGGCGUAUUUAUUAGAUGGAAACCAAUGCGGGGCAACCCGGUAUAUGGUGAUUCAUAAUAACUUUCGGAUCGAUCUUCGGAUCGAUGCAUCAUUCAAGUUUCUGCCCUAUCAGCUUUGGAUGGUAGGGUAUUGGCCUACCAUGGCUUUAACGGGUAACGGAGAAUUAGGGUUCGAUUCCGGAGAGGGAGCCUGAGAAAUGGCUACCACAUCCAAGGAAGGCAGCAGG
rnacentral:rRNA from 1 species